GGAUUAGAUACCCUGGUAGUCCACGCCCUAAACGAUGCGAACUGGACGUUGGGCUCAAUUAGGAGCUCAGUGUCGAAGCUAACGCGUUAAGUUCGCCGCCUGGGGAGUACGGUCGCAAGACUGAAACUCAAAGGAAUUGACGGGGGCCCGCACAAGCGGUGGAGUAUGUGGUUUAAUUCGAUGCAACGCGCAGAACCUUACCUGGUCUUGACAUCCACGGAAUCCUUUAGAGAUAGAGGAGUGCCUUCGGGAACCGUGAGACAGGUGCUGCAUGGCUGUCGUCAGCUCGUGCCG
rnacentral:rRNA from 1 species